UUUUGAACAUGUACGACAAAUUGGUGUCAAUUUUAUUGAAUUUCUAUAAAUCAUUUUUCAUCAACUUACAUCUUGAUAUUUUUAAAUUAUUAAAUCAUUUUUUGAUAAUGAAAUUUUGAUGUUUUGAUGGAUUUUGAAAUUUUAUAAUAUAUUAUUUUCAUUAUAAUGAUUUUUGGAGUAAAAUCUUUAAUUUAUAUGAAAUUAAUUUAAUUUGAUGGGUUUUUAAAUUUAAAUUUUCAAAAUCUGGCAAAGUGUACCGGUACAAAAUCCCGUACCGGUACAAGUUACUGUAGCCGCGGGUUAUAUAACCGGAUACACGUUUCGAUUCUCUCCCAAAUCUUAAUCAAAUCGCAUCUAUCUUCUCCUGAAGCUCCUAGGCGACGAUCUCCUUCAGAUUUACCUCUUUUCACGU
rnacentral:lncRNA from 1 species